GAGGUGGACAAACGUUAUUCGGAUUUACUGGGCUUAAAGCGUGCGUAGGCGGCUCAGAAAGUUGGGUGUGAAAGCCCUCGGCUCAACCGAGGAAUUGCGCUCAAAACUACUGAGCUUGAGGGAGAUAGGGGAGAGCGGAACUGAUGGUGGAGCGGUGAAAUGCGUUGAUAUCAUCAGGAACACCGGUGGCGAAGGCGGCUCUCUGGAUCUCUUCUGACGCUGAGGCACGAAAGCUAGGGGAGCAAACGGGAUUAGAUACCCCGGUAGUCCUAGCCUUAAACGAUGAGCACUAGAUCGGAGAUCCUCACAGAUUUCUGGUCGUAGCGAAAGUGUUAAGUGCUCCGCCUGGGGAGUAUGGUCGCAAGGCUGAA
rnacentral:rRNA from 1 species